rfam:Ovis aries breed Texel chromosome 1, whole genome shotgun sequence.
UCCCAGUGGCUCAGAGGUAAAGUAUCUGCCUACAAUGCAGGAGACCUGGGUUCAAUCCCUAGAUUGGGAA